rnacentral:rRNA from 1 species
GACGAACGCUGGCGGCGUGCCUAAUACAUGCAAGUUGAGCGCUGAAGGUUGGUACUUGUACCGACUGGAUGAGCAGCGAACGGGUGAGUAACGCGUGGGGAAUCUGCCUUUGAGCGGGGGACAACAUUUGGAAACGAAUGCUAAUACCGCAUAAAAACUUUAAACACAAGUUUUAAGUUUGAAAGAUGCAAUUGCAUCACUCAAAGAUGAUCCCGCGUUGUAUUAGCUAGUUGGUGAGGUAAAGGCUCACCAAGGCGAUGAUACAUAGCCGACCUGAGAGGGUGAUCGGCCACAUUGGGACUGAGACACGGCCCAAACUCCUACGGGAGGCAGCAGUAGGGAAUCUUCGGCAAUGGACGAAAGUCUGACCGAGCAACGCCGCGCGAGUGAAGAAGGUUUUCGGAUCGUAAAACUCUGUUGGUAGAGAAGAACGUUGGUGAGAGUGGAAAGCUCAUCAAGUGACGGUAACUACCCUGAAAGGGACGGCUAACUACGUGCCAGCAGCCGCAGUAA